GACGAACGCUGGCGGCGUGCUUAACACAUGCAAGUCGAACGAUGAAGCGGGUGCUUGCACUCGUGGAUUAGUGGCGAACGGGCGAGUAACACGUGAGUAACCUGUCCUUUUCUUUGGGAUAACGGCUGGAAACGGCUGCUAAUACUGGAUAUUCAGGCUGCAUCGCAUGGUGUGGUUUGGAAAGGUUUUUUCUGGGAUUGGGUGGGCUCGCGGCCUAUCAGCUUGUUGGUGGGGUGAUGGCUUACCAAGGCUUUGACGGGUAGCCGGCCUGAGAGGGUGGUCGGUCGCACUGGGACUGAGAUACGGCCCAGACUCCUACGGGAGGCAGCAGUGGGGAAUAAUGCACAAUGGACGAAAGUUUGAUGCAGCGACGCCGCGUGGAGGGUGUAGGCCUUCGGGUUGUGAACUCCUUUUUCUCGCGAAAAAGGCACAGUUUUGGCUGUGUUGAUGGUAGUGGGGGAAGAAGCGCCGGCUAACUACGUG
rnacentral:rRNA from 1 species